rnacentral:rRNA from 1 species
AGUAACACGUGGAUAACCUACCUAUAAGACUGGGACAACUUCGGGAAACCGGAGCUAAUACCGGAUAAUAUUUUGAACCGCAUGGUUCAAAAGUGAAAGACGGUCUUGCUGUCACUUAUAGAUGGAUCCGCGCUGCAUUAGCUAGUUGGUAAGGUAACGGCUUACCAAGGCAACGAUGCAUAGCCGACCUGAGAGGAUGAUCGGCCACACUGGAACUGAGACACGGUCCAGACUCCUACGGGAGGCAGCAGCG